AUAUGACACAUGUUCUGCCUGAAAUACAGUGACUCUAUGAUCAAAGGUUGAUUGGCCAACAAGAGUGUCUAUAAUGAUCGCUCACUGCACGGUCGACCUCACUGCCCACGUGACCAAGAGCAAGGACCAAGCGCAUUGUUCUGAGCAGUCUUCGAGGACAGCGGGCGUUAAUAAAUCAUGCACGGUCUACAAGAACAGAUUCCCGCCUUUGUUUUAAGAGCUGCUAAAAUUCAAAAGGGAAAAAACGUACUCUUUCCCCGCCUGCGCCGAAACUGACAAGGACGGGAUGGUAGCUGGGAAAUCUUAGCAACUCAACGAACACCACUGACGGAAGAUAAUGAUUUCAACUCAGGUCUUCAAAACCAAUAAAGAGAACAGAGCAUCAAAACCUAUAUGGUGGAACAUUAAGAAUAACAUGUACAAAGGUCUGAAAGGAUUCAUCAUUGAGAAGAUAGUUCUAUUGGAAUUCUCCCGGUCAUUAAAAGACGUCUUAAUUGUGUACAUUUAAUUCUGGAAAAAGUACAGACACUUCACUG